ACCAGCAUUUUAUUAUUAAAAAACUGAAAAGUUUAUUUUUUCUCUCAAACCUGAAAAGGUUAGAAGAUAAUUCAGUUAGGGUUAAAUAUUUUGAUUAAAGGCAUAAUUUAAACCUUUAUCUGAUCUUUUAUGUGGAAGAUAAGGAAUUCUGGAUGGAUUUCAGCUUAUACAAGAGAAGAUAAAUCUUUCCUAUUGUGAUUUAAUAUAGUUUAUAACAAAAUAUCAUUGCACCAACUAUUAAGAGAAGAAUAGUCAUUGGCACUGGAGGACAAAAAAAUAUCCUUAUUUUUUUCUUUAAAAAUAAGAAUUUCCAAUUGUGGCUUCUCUAUGAAAGUGACGUUUGGAUUUUAGCAGCGGAAACAAAGAACACUGUUAACAUAAUUUAUUCAAUGUUGUUUAAAGAAAGGUUUAAAGAUUACUGUUGACAAUCGGCAUGAAUUUCCUUUACUUGGGGUCACGUGAAAUUACGUAAAGCUGCUACCUUUAAGAUAUCAAAUCGAUGAAAUAAUUUUUCCCUAAAAAACAAGCUGAGAUCAUCAAUUUGGGAACUUUUUGAAAACAGGAAAUUUGUUUUCUAAAUUAUAAUUGUCUAAUAUAUGUGUGUUGUCAGUUUGUUUGUAUCCAAUAAACGUUAA